GACGAACGCUGGCGGCGUGCCUAAUACAUGCAAGUCGAACGCAGUGGGAACGGCUGAGUACCACGUGGGUAACCUCCCAUCAGAGGGGAUAACACUUGGAAACAGGUGCUCAGCCGAUACUGAUUGAUGGCCCCGCGGUGCAUUAGCUGGUUGGGGUGGUAACGGCUUACCAAGGCCACGAUGCAUAGCCGGCCUGAGAGGGUGAUCCGCCACACUGGGACUGAGACACGGCCCAGACUCCUACGGGAGGCAGCAGUGGGGAAGCUUCGGCAAUGGACGAAAGUCUGACCGAGCAACGCCGCGUGAGUGAAGAAGGUUUUCGGAUCGUAAAACUCUGUUGUUAGAGAGGCGGUAUCUAACCAGGAAGCCACGGCUAACUACGGGCCAGCAGCCGCGGUAAUAC
rnacentral:rRNA from 1 species